UACGUAGGGGGCUAGCGUUGUCCGGAUUUAUUGGGCGUAAAGAGCGUGUAGGCGGCUUUGCAAGUCCGUUGUGAAAACUCGAGGCUCAACCUCGAGACGCCGGUGGAAACUGCAAAGCUAGAGUCCGGAAGAGGAGAGUGGAAUUCCUGGUGUAGCGGUGAAAUGCGCAGAUAUCAGGAAGAACACCCGUGGCGAAGGCGGCUCUCUGGGACGGUACUGACGCUGAGACGCGAAAAGCGUGGGGAGCGAACAGG
rnacentral:rRNA from 1 species